CCUGCAAGUCCAAGUAUUGUCAUUGAGAGAUGGUUGAAAGAAGAGCUUCAGGUGAACAGGACAAUGAUUGUCCUGAAUGUCAUCAUAAAAGAAAAUGUCGACAGGAGCAUGAAAAACAAAAAUAGUUUGAUGGCUUUUAACAGCCAACAAAAACA